UUGAACAAUUCGAAGUUAAAAGCCAUUCAGGCUUUCGUCAAAGAACAGCAAAGAACCGCCCCGCAACCGGAUGAUGAGGUUCGCUGGAUCAUAUUUGACUUUGUUUCUUUCCCCCAAAAGCACAGACCCAGUACCCAGAGUUCCGUCGUGUCGGGUUUGCCUUUUGCCUGUCAGUGGUGUACUCAUUUUUGG
rnacentral:ribozyme from 1 species